rnacentral:rRNA from 1 species
GUACACUCCUACGGGAGGCAGCAGUGGGGAAUUUUGGACAAUGGGCGAAAGCCUGAUCCAGCAAUGCCGCGUGAGUGAAGAAGGCCUUCGGGUUGUAAAGCUCUUUUGUCAGGGAAGAAACGGUGAGAGCUAAUAUCUUUUGCUAAUGACGGUACCUGAAGAAUAAGCACCGGCUAACUACGUGCCAGCAGCCGCGGUAAUACGUAGGGUGCAAGCGUUAAUCGGAAUUACUGGGCGUAAAGCGUGCGCAGGCGGUUUUGUAAGUCUGAUGUGAAAUCCCCGGGCUCAACCUGGGAAUUGCAUUGGAGACUGCAAGGCUAGAAUCUGGCAGAGGGGGGUAGAAUUCCACGUGUAGCAGUGAAAUGCGUAGAUAUGUGGAGGAACACCGAUGGCGAAGGCAGCCCCCUGGGUCAAGAUUGACGCUCAUGCACGAAAGCGUGGGGAGCAAACAGGAUUAGAUACCCGUGUAGUCCCA